AUGAACGCUAGCUACAGGCUUAACACAUGCAAGUCGAGGGGCAGCAUGGUCUUAGCUUGCUAAGGCCGAUGGCGACCGGCGCACGGGUGAGUAACACGUAUCCAACCUGCCGUCUACUCUUGGACAGCCUUCUGAAAGGAAGAUUAAUACAAGAUGGCAUCAUGAGUCCACAUGUUCACAUGAUUAAAGGUAUUCCGGUAGACGAUGGGGAUGCGUUCCAUUAGAUAGUAGGCGGGGUAACGGCCCACCUAGUCUUCGAUGGAUAGGGGUUCUGAGAGGAAGGUCCCCCACAUUGGAACUGAGACACGGUCCAAACUCCUACGGGAGGCAGCAGUGAGGAAUAUUGGUCAAUGGGCGAGAGCCUGAACCAGCCAAGUAGCGUGAAGGAUGACUGCCCUAUGGGUUGUAAACUUCUUUUGUAAAGGAAUAAAGUCGGGUAUGGAUACCCGUUUGCAUGUACUUUAUGAAUAAGGAUCGGCUAACUCCGUGCCAGCAGCCGCGGUAAUACGGAGGAUCCGAGCGUUAUCCGGAUUUAUUGGGUUUAAAGGGAGCGUAGAUGGAUGUUUAAGUCAGUUGUGAAAGUUUGCGGCUCAACCGUAAAAUUGCAGUUGAUACUGGAUAUCUUGAGUGCAGUUGAGGCAGGCGGAAUUCGUGGUGUAGCGGUGAAAUGCUUAGAUAUCACGAAGAACUCCGAUUGCGAAGGCAGCCUGCUAAGCUGCAACUGACAUUGAGGCUCGAAAGUGUGGGUAUCAAACAGGAUUAGAUACCCUGGUAGUCCACACGGUAAACGAUGAAUACUCGCUGUUUGCGAUAUACGGCAAGCGGCCAAGCGAAAGCGUUAAGUAUUCCACCUGGGGAGUACGCCGGCAACGGUGAAACUCAAAGGAAUUGACGGGGGCCCGCACAAGCGGUGGAGCAUGUGGUUUAAUUCGAAGCAACGCGAAGAACCUUACCAGCACUUGACAUCCAACUAACGAAAUAGAGAUAUAUUAGGUGCCCUUCGGGGAAAGUUGAGACAGGUGGUGCAUGGUUGUCGUCAGCUCGUGCCGUGAGGUGUCGGCUUAAGUGCCAUAACGAGCGCAACCCUUGUUGUCAGUUACUAACAGGUUUCGCUGAGGACUCUGACAAGACUGCCAUCGUAAGAUGUGAGGAAGGUGGGGAUGACGUCAAAUCAGCACGGCCCUUACGUCCGGGGCUACACACGUGUUACAAUGGGGGGUACAGAGGGCCGCUACCACGCGAGUGGAUGCCAAUCCCAAAAACCUCUCUCAGUUCGGACUGGAGUCUGCAACCCGACUCCAUGAAGGCGGAGUCGCUAGUAAUCGCGGAUCAGCAACGCCGCGGUGAAUGCGUUCCCGGGCCUUGUACACACCGCCCGUCAAGUCAUGAAAGUGGGUAGCACCCGAAGCCGGUGGCCCAACCUUUUUGGGGGGGAGCCGUCUAAGGUGAGACUCGUGAUUGGGACU
rnacentral:rRNA from 1 species